AUACGGAGGAUGCAAGCGUUAUCCGGAUUUAUUGGGUUUAAAGGGUGCGUAGGCGGUUUGCUAAGCGGGAGGUGAAAUGCCGGCGCUCAACGUCGGAAGUGCCUCCCGAACUGGUGGACUUGAAUGACUCUGCCGUGGGAGGAAUGGGACGUGUAGCGGUGAAAUGCUUAGAGAUUACACAGAACACCGAUUGCGAAGGCAUCUCACGAAGGGUUGAUUGACGCUGAGGCACGAAAGCGUGGGGAUCAAACAGGAUUAGAUACCCUGGUAGUCCACGCAGUAAACGAUGAUGGCUAACCGCUGGAUCCAUCGGUUCAGUGGCCAAGCGAAAGCGAUAAGCCAUCCACCUGGGGAGUACGACCGCAAGGUUGAAACUCAAAGGAAUUGGCGGGG
rnacentral:rRNA from 1 species